rnacentral:rRNA from 1 species
GUGGGGAAUUUUGCGCAAUGGGGGAAACCCUGACGCAGCAACGCCGCGUGAGCGAUGAAGGCCUUCGGGUCGUAAAGCUCUUUUAGUGGGGAAGAAAAAUUCCAAGGUGAACAAUCUUGGAACUUGACGGUACCCGCAGAAAAAGCUCCGGCUAACUACGUGCCAGCAGCCGCGGUAAUACGUAGGGAGCAAGCGUUGUUCGGAAUUAUUGGGCGUAAAGAGCGCGUAGGCGGUUUGGUGAGUCUGAUGUGAAAUCCUAGGGCUUAACCCUGGAACUGCAUUGGAUACUGCCAGGCUUGAGUGCGGGAGAGGAGAGUGGAAUUCCCAGUGUAGGGGUGAAAUCCGUAGAUAUUGGGAAGAACACCGGUGGCGAAGGCGGCUCUCUGGACCGCAACUGACGCUGAGGCGCGAAAGCUAGGGGAGCAAACGGGAUUAGAUACCCCAGUAGUCC